GGUGUGGCCUAGUUGGUUAUGGCGCCAGAUUGUGGCUCUGGAGGUCGUGGGUUCGAAUCCCAUCAUC
rnacentral:tRNA from 1 species